rnacentral:rRNA from 1 species
GAUGAACGCUGGCGGCGUGCCUAAUACAUGCAAGUCGAGCGAACAGACGAGGAGCUUGCUCCUCUGACGUUAGCGGCGGACGGGUGAGUAACACGUGGGUAACCUACCUAUAAGACUGGGAUAAAUUCGGGAAACCGGAGCUAAUACCGGAUAAUAUAUUGAACCGCAUGGUUCAAUAGUGAAAGACGGUUUUGCUGUCACUUAUAGAUGGAUCCGCGCCGCAUUAGCUAGUUGGUAAGGUAACGGCUUACCAAGGCAACGAUGCGUAGCCGACCUGAGAGGGUGAUCGGCCACACUGGAACUGAGACACGGUCCAGACUCCUACGGGAGGCAGCAGUAGGGAAUUUUCGGCAAUGGGCGAAAGCCUGACGGAGCAACGCCGCGUGAGUGAUGAAGGUCUUCGGAUCGUAAAACUCUGUUAUUAGGGAAGAACAAAUGUGUAAGUAACUAUGCACGUCUUGACGGUACCUAAUCAGAAAGCCACGGCUAACUACGUG